rnacentral:rRNA from 1 species
CCAAUAGCGUAUAUUAAAGUUGUUGCAGUUAAAAAGCUCGUAGUUGAAUUUCGGGAUCGACGGGUCGGUCGCGCCUCUGGUGUGUACUGGCCCUGUCGGUUUCUCCCUUCUGACGAACUGCGAUGUCAUUAAUUUGGUGUCGUAGGGAAUCAGGACGGUUACUUUGAAAAAAUUAGAGUGUUUAAAGCAGGCAUUCGCUUGAAUACAUUAGCAUGGAAUAAGGAAAUAGGACGUUUGAUCUUAUUUUGUUGGUUUCUAAGAUCGACGUAAUGAUUAAUAGGGAUAGUUGGGGGCAUUAGUAUUCAAUUGUCAGAGGUGAAAUUCUUGGAUUUAUUGAAGACUAACUACUGCGAAAGCAUUUGCCAAGGAUGUUUUCAUUAAUCAAGAACGAAAGUUAGGGGAUCGAAGACGAUCAGAUACCGUCGUAGUCUUAACCAUAAACUAUGCCGACUAGGGAUCGGAUGAUGUUAAUUUUUUAAUGACUCAUUCGGCGCCUUACG